CGAGUAGCAUGAAGAUAUGAGCCUAAGCAACGUCUUCAACGUGGCUGAUUUACACCUCUAUGUGGGGCAUCACUCUGACGACGGUGACACUAAACAAAUGCUAUGGCUGCCCCAACUUAAGCCACCUAUAGAAGACAUUAUUGAGGAGAUUUUGGACGACACCUACAAAACCACUCAUCGUGGCACCGGCUACCAUGCCUUUCUCAUCAAAUGGAAAGGUUGCCCACAGCAUGAUCGCACUUGGAUUCAUGCCGAUGACUUCAAAAGGCUUGAUCCUGACUUGUACGAGCGAUAUAUGUCCUUCACCUAUUCGUCGGAGACGAAUGUUUUCAAGCCAGGGAGAUUUGAUGCAGAUUCAUCACCAAAUAGGGCUUGUUUCAUUGGGAAUAAG